UCCAGGGAACCCGUCGUGGUGGUGGAGAUGGAGGCCGAAGCUACGGUGGUGGACGUGGUGGCGGUGGCGGUGGCUACGGCGGCGGAUAUGGUGGAGGCGGUGGCUAUGGUGGUGGACGAGGUGGAGGUGGCGGCGGCGGUGCUUGCUACAACUGUGGAGAGUCCGGUCACCUAGCUAGGGAUUGCUUCCAGGGAGGCAGCGGAGGCGGAGACAGGUACGGCGGCGGUGGAGGUGGAGGAGGUAGAUAUGGUGGCGGCGGCGGUGGAGGAGGAAGGUAUGGAGGAGGCGGUGGAGGCGGCGGCGGUGGAAGCUGCUACAACUGUGGGGAGUCUGGGCACUUUGCCAGAGAAUGCCCAACUAAUGGUGGUGGUCGUUGAAGUUUGUUUUAGGGUUUUAUGUUUAUGAAUUGCUUUAAGUUUUUUAUUUCAAGAUGGUUUAGGGUUUCAGUGGUUUAUGUUUGGAACUAUGAAUUUUAAUUAGUAGAAUAGGUGUGUGGGGUUUUGUUUCUCUUUUGACAAUCAGAUGUUCAUGUGAUCUUAUUACAAAUCUG
rnacentral:lncRNA from 1 species